CAUCCACUGCAGCACUCCAGCUGUGGUAGCAACCCCACCAUGUUCCCAUGACAGCAACUAGGUCAUAGUUUGCCUGACACACAAUAGCAUCCAGCUUCUCCUCUUUGUUGCCUAUGCUGCAUGUAUUGGUGUAGAUGCACUUCAGCUGAGUCCCUUGCCCCACUCCCAGUCUGUCAUAGUUUCCCUACACUCAUCUCUAGCGGGCCUGGUUUUAUCUCCUUCCCCCUUCAUACGUAGCUGUCAUGGCAUUAUCUAAGAAUCUGUGUCCAUGACAAGGGGGACAGGCCCAGAAAAAAGAAAAAGAGAGAAAAGAAAAAAAAAUUGUCAGCGGGUAGGGGCCGGCCCUGAGCAGUCUAAAACAGCAGGGGAGCCGCGGACCCACACCCUGGGGAAAACAAAGGGAGAAGGGGAAAGAGGCAGCCUUGAGGAGUAGAGUCAACCGCCUCACCCUAGACAAUCCUGUGGGUGAACCUCCCACCGCAUCAUCACUCACCUCCCGCUCAAGUUCCAGAGACUCAAACCUAUAGGGGUUUCCAUAGGGGAAUCUGAGGAAACAAGCCAGACCAAAACCAGUCACUGAGGAAGUGGGAAGGACAAGACAUCUGUGAACACACAGCCCCACUGCAUCUGACACACAACUAGCUUUGCCUGCUGCCUGUGUUCCACAAGAUCUGUCACAGGAGCCACUUGCCCCAAACUUCUGAAUGUUUACUGGUCACAUCUCUUAGCAGCUGUUCAACGGAGCCCAAAGGACAGGGCAGCCUACAGCACAGCUCCAGACUAAAUAAUUGGUUCUAGAAGGUCCAUUAUUGGCUAGGAAUCACAACGCUUUAUGAGAUUUGACCUUUAGAAUUUUAUCAGUUUUCAGAAUAUUGUCCCUUUCAGUGCCUAGACAAGAGUGGAAAGAAGAGAUACAAGCUGCUCAUUAGAUACAGUGCACUAAAAUCAGAGGGCCUUCUCCAUGCUGUGUUUGAAAGAUUGGAUUUACAGAGACAAAAUGAACAUACUGCUCUUCCACAGACAAUAAAAGAGCAAAAUAUCAUCCAUCAGAGUACAUACUGAAAAGUGAAGCCUAAGGGUGAAAACAAUUUGCUACAGAAAAUACAUUUUGUUUUAGCCUUGUCUGAAUCCAUCAACAUUCACCCCUACUUCUUCCCUGGUAACACUAACAGAUGAGAGUAAAAGUAGCCCAUCUCUAACCUACUCUAAGAAACUGAGCUUGCAAGCCAGGUCGCUUGUGAUGGCAAGAAAUCCAUUUGUGACUAAAGACAAAGCAACUCUUUCCAAAAAUCAGGAUUACAAUAAGGAAUUUUUAUCUCCUAAGCUAAUGAGAAAACAGCAGGAAAAGUUGUGCAUAAUAGGAUGCUGACUCUUCUGUCCUUCACUUUCUACUCCAUGUAGCACUGAACAGAACAGAUACUACUGCAGAUAUACAGUUGUUUCAUCAAAACCCAAAGUCACGUAACUCAUCAUAGUAUAAAGAAUUAAUUUUACUAUUUUUCAGGAGUUGUUUCUGUCCUCUGAGAAAGAAAGGAGUAUUUCCCAAAAAGAAUCCUUAAUAGAAGCAACUUCUGCAGUUUGAAUUAAUCAGUCUGUGCUUUGCAACAGUAAAAUUUCAGCACAAGCAGCUAAUUUAUGUUAGUUCUUCUAGUGCUCAGAGCACAUGCAUUAAUCACUGUAUUUUUUACUUGAAAUUCAUGUAUGUUUAGCACUAGAUAGUCUCCCAUCAAAAAGCUCCACUUUACAUUUAGAUCUAUUAACCUUUCCCAUAAAAGAAGUAUAAAUAUCCCUCACAUUCAAAUGAAGUUCAGUCCUAGAAUAAUACAGUCUCAACUGAAUGUAAUCAUUACAUAAGCGACCUGGGGAGAAAAAAAUAGAAACAAGGAAAAAAGAAAAUGAGAAGUCUUCAGCACCGCGGACAGCGCCUAGCAAAAGGCCGCCGUGGAUGAUUAAACGAUGACAGGCCAUCAGAGACUGCAGGAGAGCACAUCUCUCUGAUGGCUAUGACGAUCCAGGGAUGUUGCCCUGGGAGCUGAUGGGCUUUGUUCUGAUUGUGUUAUGCAUCCCCUGCAUGCUCGUUUGUUCCGUAGCGAAAGCUGACAGGACCCAGCUCCUCUUCCCAUCACUCUUUCAUUCUUGACAUUUAAUCCACUGAUGCACACCUUGCUCAGUUCCUUCUUAUGCACAGUCCUUGGAAAAUCAAGUAUUUGUUUAUUCAACAUGGACUUUUCACUUUAAGGCUUAGAGAUAUUUAUUUCAAAAUUGCAAAUACUGGAUCAAAAUCCUUUCUACUUUGAAGUCCAAAAACAUAUGAAUCACUGAAUGUAACAACUCCUCAGUCUCAAGAAACAAGAUACAGAGUUCAUGGCCAACUCCACACUCAGUGCAGGGAACAAAAGAAAUUGGUAAUAAUGAGAUACCACUUAAGUGCUAUUUCCCUGUAGGAUUUGCAAGGCCAAAGCUUGGUAAUACUGAAAUAUCAGGUAAGUCCUGUUCCCCUGUAAAGUACGCAAGGCCAAAGUAAGACCUCACUUUCAAGUGCGUUUUCCAGAAACCCAUCAUGCUUAAUGUUAUAUUACUGGUGGAGCACCUGUUCAUUUUCAAGUAAAUUACAUAUUGUCAUGCAUGAAUUAAGCAAGUGAGCAUCUGAAUACAGUGAAGAUUAAAGAUGUUACCUUGCAAACAUUUUGAUAUUUGAAAACCAGUUUUUGAAGAACCUUGAGUAGAAAAAUCUACUUCAGUAUUCUCUUGGGGAGGCUUUGUUCUUGGUCAGCUCCCAUCUGCUUAGCAGUGAAUUGUAAGCCCUGCCAUCAGAUGCUUACCUACAGGUGCUUCAUUAACAGCCAUUGUUAUUGUGGCAUUCACUUGCUCACAAGCUGCCUCAAUCUCCCCAGGGAAAAGCAUAGAUGUCUGAUUUAUGAUGCAGGUUCAAUCUGCUUUAAUGACCAAAGCAGGACUGCAGAAACAGUACUAAAGGAAACUUUAGUUUGCUUGGACCAACUAAUAACUACUUUUGAGUAAACACACACACACAAAACCCUCAAAUAGUAACAGCCUUGAAUACCAGACCAACUUCACAUUUGCUAUCUCAGAAAAUUGGGCUGUGUUAGUUGAAAGCUAAAAUACAGUUAUCUCCAUGUCGCAAUCCAGAAAACAUUUUUGUUCCAGGACUCAGUUCCUAGAAUGGGAACUGGAGGAAAUUCGUGGAUUUGGGCUCAUCAGUGUUAAUAAUCAAGUCCCUCUUCCUGCACACAGUCUAUUAAAGUUUCUACUAAUUGUCAGCAAACAUCUCUUUCUCAGGGCAAAACUUUCCUCAAACAAAACCAGCAGAAGAAUUUGACCUAGUAUAAUUUUAUCUGUUUAACAAGUCAAUUCAAGUUUUCAGAGAGAUGCUUUAUUGUGCCUUUUGCAUAGACACAACAUCAAUGCCUUUUAAAUUAAACUAAGAACCUAAACUGACUCCUGCUUAGACUGUCACUGCCAUAGAGACAGUAUAUGAUUAUCAAACUCCAGUACAAACACAAUCCAACAGUUGUACCUCACUUCUUAUUUGAAUAGAAGAAAUACUAUGCCUCUGCCCUUGGAAAAGACUGCUGAACUCUUUCUGACAGGUAACAGUGCCUACCUACUAAUGGCAAGGCAAUUUUAAAAAUGAACUAACUUCCUGCAUAAGACCAUCAUAUUGAUUUUUCUUCUAUUAGGAGCCUGAAUGUACUUAAACAAUAAUUUCUAGUGGCCCAAUUUGGCAAAUUUCAACAUAAUCCACUAGAAGUAUUGUCAAAUCUCUACAAUUAAAUCAAAAGCACAUCAUUCAGCACUUUUUAACAGCAUUAUUUCCUCAGCAUGAGUGAUCAUCUGAGUUUUUCCACAUUUAAAAUGUCUCACUGGAAGAAAGCGGAGGGGGGUCUGGGGAAGGGGGGAGUGACAACGGAGGGAACAAACAAGCAAAAAAAACCACUUAAUCUCUGGAAACUGCAGUAUAUUCUCUAUCUUCUUGCAAAUACUGGAUACUCAAAACCAGACAAAUUCAAAAAAUCCCUUGGUACAGCAAUCACAUCUUGGCUUAUCCUACAAUUUAAUUCUCUCCACACACUUCACAGCUUGAUGAAGGCUAUGCUGGAUGGUGAGAACGUUUCAUAUGACUUCUCACCUGUUCAACCAGUGCACGCUCCUUGCCCUAGAAUCUCUCCCAUACACACAGUGGGUUUUCUAGGACCAAAUCAAGCUUUUGGCUUUCUCUGCUAACAAUUAUGAUGCAAGUUUUCUAGCAAUCACCAUUGGACCUCUGGUAACCACUAUGGUGGUCUGUGGUUCCCUCAAUGUUAUGCUCUCCUGCUUGCAUUUAACGACACACAACCACAUAGGGGGAAAGGUUACCUGACUCAAAAAAAAGUGAGGAUGCUGCAAUGAACUUCCCUCUCUUUCAUACACACUACACAGAUAUCACAAAUCUCUUCACUAAGAUUAUUUUCCUCACAAAGUGUAUCUUAAUGCUCCUUAGAGACACUCUGUGACUGAUAACUGCAAGAGUGAGAUGAGGUAUAAAUGAAACAUCAGCCCUCUAUUAACAUAUCAUCUACAUUCCAAAAAAGUUCAAGAUUCCAGCCUGUAGGUACUGCUAUGGGUGGAUAAUAGCAUGAGAUAUGGUCAUACAUGUUUAAUUCAUAAACCUAGUAGCUAAAAAUUAUUCAACUGAACUGAAAGUGUAGAGAACUUGAAUAGUGUUCAGAACAAAAUACAGAUGCACUUGCAAAGUUGGUCAGCAUUGUCACUGUAAAUCAAACUUCUAGAGAAAAUUAAAUCCCUGUGAAAGCAGUGGGAAGCUCCCAAGGCAUCAAGGGCAGUACUUCUGUUUGCAUGGGUCGCACUUUGAUUCUCUGCCACCUCUUCAGAGUUGACACAGAGCACAUCACUCCUCCAUGCACAACAGGGUGCAUUUCAGACAGAAAACGCACGACAAAAUGAGGAUAAUAAGGCAGCAUCGUGAUAAACAGUACUGUGCAAGAAAAUAACCAUUUAUUCUCUAGCCAAAAAUGUAAACUCAUAGAUGGGAGAAAGAAGUAAAAUGGGAGUAGCAGAGCAGAGAAGCAAACAAGGGAAUGAAGUGCCAAAGACAGCAGGCAAGAUGAGAAGUAGAGACAAGGCCUGUGAACGAGGAGAAGAAAAAGCAGACAGGGGGAAGGAAAUCAGGGUAAUCAGAGACUGGAAUGUCAUUUGAGAAAGGAGUAAGUUCUUAUUUCUGAUACGUAUUAUCUACUACAGCAGUCUCUCACUGCAACAGAUCAUCUUUCACUUCUUUCCUCAUUUAAGUGAGGGAAUGGGAAAAGAAGAACCUAUAAAAUUUGGGGCUUAUUCUUCUUUCACCAGUGUAUAUGCCAGCUGGAGUUAACAGGUAACAAGCAAAGAAUCAAAACAGAAUCAUGUUUAACGAUCUCCAGUGAUCCCACAAGUGGCAUUUUCAGGAUGUGGAUUGUACAGAACAAUUUCAGAUCUCAGUCAGUCUACUUCCCCUCCUCCUUUCUGCUCCUCAGAAACAAAACUGACAGGCAGUGGAAAAAGAGGCUAAUUGGAACAAAUGGCACAAGUUCCAAGCUGCAGUCAAGUCUUCUUCCCUUCACUUUUCCAAACAAGUCAUUCACAUUAGAGGUCAGAAACCAACAGGAUGGCAGGCAAAGAAAUCACAAAGGCAGACUCUGAAUGGCAUGUUGUAGUAGGACCAAUACAUUGGAUUGAGAGCAUUUUGUGAAGAGUGUUGAUGAGAAGCAGCAGAUUCCAGUGUCGUAGUCAUUUUUUUUACCACAACAGAUGCCUGGUGCUGUCAACUAGCUGCAUUUCUCCUCUGUGAGGUAGCAGUUCCCAUUUUCAGCUUAAAAGGUUUCAAUCUAAGAGUUCUCCUGACAGAGAAAAGUAUGACACUAUGAAUUAGCUGUGGGUCCUCACUCCAGCCACCUGAAAGAAUCUGGAAAUCCUGGUAUCAUCUUCAUGCAACGCAAGGCAACAAAUAAACAAACAAACAAACCAAAAACCCAACAAGCACACCUUCAUUUUUGAGUGUGCUUAGUCUUUAAUUUGUGAGAGAA